rnacentral:rRNA from 1 species
AUGGCUCUGGGAUUGCUUUCUCGCAGGGAGUCGAGAAAGGAUCUCUGGCCAAGAUGUCAGAGCCCAGGAGCCAGAUGCCACCGCCGAUGCUUACUACUACGUGGAGGUCGCCGACGACCAGGAGUAGUUAGGAGGCUCCCAGGCAAGAGGCCUUGCCUUUUCGAUCGUUGUUUUUUUUGUGCUAGCCUUCUUAAGGCAAACUUGUCUAACUCAUGUCUGUACUCAGAUAUUGUUGCUUCCGCUGACUCUUGUGUAUUCGAGCUUAUGUAUUCGAGCCCUCGAGGCCCCUGGCUUGUAAUAUAA